CAAUAGCGUAUAUUAAAGUUGUUGCAGUUAAAAAGCUCGUAGUUGGAUUUGUGGCGUACGGUGUGUUCCGGGCACUUGUUGUCUGAGUAACCUGCUGUUGCCAUCCUUGGGUGGAACCUGUGUGGCAUUAGGUUGUCGUGCAGGGGAUGCCCAUCAUUUACUGUGAAAAAAUUAGAGUGUUCAAAGCAGGCUUAUGCCGUUGAAUAUAUUAGCAUGGAAUAAUGAGAUAGGACUUUUUUGCUAUUUUGUUGGUUUGCGCAAAGAGGUAAUGAUUAAUAGGGACAGGUGGGGGUAUUCGUAUUCCAUUGUCAGAGGUGAAAUUCUUGGAUUUUUGGAAGACGAACUACUGCGAAAGCAUUUACCAAGGAUGUUUUCAUUAA
rnacentral:rRNA from 1 species